UUGAACGCUGGCGGCAUGCUUUACACAUGCAAGUCGAACGGCAGCGGGGGCUUCGGCCCGCCGGCGAGUGGCGAACGGGUGAGUAAUACAUCGGAACGUACCCAGUUGUGGGGGAUAGCCCGGCGAAAGCCGGAUUAAUACCGCAUACGCCCUGAGGGGGAAAGCGGGGGACCUUCGGGCCUCGCGCGAUUGGAGCGGCUGAUGUCGGAUUAGCUGGUUGGUGGGGUAAAGGCCUACCAAGGCGACGAUCCGUAGCUGGUCUGAGAGGAUGAUCAGCCACACUGGGACUGAGACACGGCCCAGACUCCUACGGGAGGCAGCAGUGGGGAAUUUUGGACAAUGGGCGCAAGCCUGAUCCAGCCAUGCCGCGUGAGUGAAGAAGGCCUUCGGGUUGUAAAGCUCUUUCAGACGGAAAGAAAUCGGGCGGGUGAAUAGCCUGCCUGGAUGACGGUACUGUCAGAAGAAGCACCGGCUAACUACGU
rnacentral:rRNA from 1 species